rnacentral:rRNA from 1 species
GGUCAGGAUGAACGCUGGCGGCGUGCCUAACACAUGCAAGUCGAGCGGAGUUAACAAGAGGAAGUUUCGGAUGGAAUUUGUAAUUAGCGGCGGACGGGUGAGUAACGCGUGAGCGACCAACCUUGCACAGGGGGGAUAACGGACCGAAAGGUUCACUAAUACCGCAUGAGACCACGGUGUUGCAUGACACAGAGGUCAAAGGAGCAAUCCGGUGCAAGACGGGCUCGCGUCCGAUUAGGUAGUUGGUGGGGUAAUGGCCCACCAAGCCUAUGAUCGGUAGCCGACCUGAGAGGGUGAUCGGCCACAUUGGAACUGAGAUACGGUCCAAACUCCUACGGGAGGCAGCAGUGGGGAAUAUUGGGCAAUGGGGGGAAACCCUGACCCAGCAACGCCGCGUGAAGGAAGAAGGUUUUCGGAUUGUAAACUUCUGUCCUUGGUGAAGAGAAGAAGACGGUAGCCAAGGAGGAAGCCCCGGCUAACUACGUGCCAGCCGCAGC